AUGAAGUACGGUUAGAGGUUUUGUUAUACAUGCAUGUAGCGGAGAAUAGUAUACUUGUGAAUGUAGAUUGUAGUUAUUGAUCUCCAGUGGCGGAGACAUUAGGAAUUUCGUUGUUAAUCAUUUGUUCCCGUUUGCUACUGUUUUUACGCAAGCAACUGUUUUGCUAGGUUAGUAGGUUACUUAUUAUAGGAUCCAGUCAUCAAUUUAAGGGCUGUAAGCGGCCUGCCAUGUUUGUCAAUGUAGGGAACGUCUAUGUUGGUUUAUCUGAGGAAUUUUUGGAGGUCUUUAGGUCAGAGCCGGUAUCUUCAAAACCGAUAAUAACGUUGAAAAUCCUUCCUUUUUGAUCACCGACCGUUGUGGCACUCCCAUGUUUGAGGAAAUCGUUAAAUCCUUAAUUAUUGGAAAUUUGUCAGUACUCCAGUCUUCUGGGUUAAUUACGAAAAGCGAUAGUACUUGGUAUUGCCGUGUAUCAUUGUGGAUACGUUUAUUUUGGGCAAUUCUUCACCUUUAGUGUGGUUUUGUUAUCGCUUAACGUUCUGAGGCUGACUGGAUUGGGAAAAAACCCUGUACGUGUAUUGCACUGCUUAUUGGUUGAAAUUGUUCAACGUAGGGAUAUUUCCGAAAAUUGUACAGGGUUUUUUUUUGUAUUAUUUGUCUAAUUUAAUAAAUUACCUUCAAACUGGGAAUCGGUAAAUGGAAUGCAUAUGUUUGGCUUGGCUGUGAUUGUUGAAGAUUGUUUACCUGCGAUUGGUGGGUGUUAAUUGUACACCGCCUACCAGCUUUUAUCGUCACCCCGUAUUAGGAAGUGGUGUCGCCUGGUCCACGCCAUCUAGUGGGCUGAAUGGCCAUCUGGAACUGUACAACCGUCUCAGAAGCUACUUCAAUAGGAUAAAUAAAAUACUCAAAUAACUUACCAAGGCAAGCUCGACUGCGACUACAUUACUCCCUGUAAGUUCAAACCCGUAAGUACUUUUGUUAAGGGUAUGGCCAUACUUAUCAAGCAUAUCAGCACGCCUAUGUGAUCUGUACAGUAGGUACGUUGUCUGUUUAUUAUUGUUAUAAUCUUAUAUACUUACCGGUUAACGAAUAUUUUAUUGUUGCCGCAGUUUUGCUUUGUUGUUGGUUAUGUACCCAUGCAGCAUCUGAUUUUAGCUACCUAUUUGCUUAUUUAUUAUAUGUAUUGAAACAAGGUUGAGUUUUCUUACCUAACAUCUGAUCGGCAGAGUAACGAGGCAACCGAAGCUGCUAGGAA